UACGGGGGGGGCAAGCGUUGUUCGGAAUUACUGGGCGUAAAGGGCUCGUAGGCGGCCAACUAAGUCAGACGUGAAAUCCCUCGGCUUAACCGGGGAACUGCGUCUGAUACUGGAUGGCUUGAAUCCGGGAGAGGGAUGCGGAAUUCCAGGUGUAGCGGUGAAAUGCGUAGAUAUCUGGAGGAACACCGGUGGCGAAGGCGGCAUCCUGGACCGAUACUGACGCUGAGGAGCGAAAGCCAGGGGAGCAAACGGG
rnacentral:rRNA from 1 species